GCAGCCGCGGUAAUACGUAUGGAGCAAGCGUUAUCCGGAUUUACUGGGUGUAAAGGGAGCGUAGACGGAUUUGCAAGUCUGAUGUGAAAGCCUGGGGCUCAACCCCGGAACUGCAUUGGAAACUGCAGAUCUUGAGUGCCGGAGAGGUAAGCGGAAUUCCUAGUGUAGCGGUGAAAUGCGUAGAUAUUAGGAGGAACACCAGUGGCGAAGGCGGCUUACUGGACGGUAACUGACGUUGAGGCUCGAAAGCGUGGGGAGCAAACAGGAUUAGAUACCCC
rnacentral:rRNA from 1 species